CAUGCAGUCGAGCGAGAAGGGGANUUCGGUCCCUGAGUACAGCGGCGGNNNNNNNNGUAACACGUGGGUAAUCUACCCUCGGGUGGGGAAUAACUCAGGGAAACCUGAGCUAAUUCCGCAUGAUAUUUCUGUUUCAUAGGGAGUGGAAAUCAAAGCUGGGGACCCUUCGGGGCCUGGCGCCUGGGGAGGAGCCCGCGGCCAAUUAGCUUGUUGGUGAGGUAAUGGCUCACCAAGGCUUCGAUUGGUAGCCGGCCUGAGAGGGCGGACGGCCACACUGGGACUGAGACACGGCCCAGACUCCUACGGGAGGCAGCAGUGGGGAAUUUUUGUCAAUGGGGGAAACCCUGAACAAGCAACGCCGCGUGAAGGACGAAGGCCUUCGGGUUGUAAACUUCUGUCGGAGGGGACGAAAGCGGUUGAGGUUAAUACCCUCGAUCGNUGACGGUACCCUACGAGGAAGCCCCGGCUAACUCCGUGCCAGCGGCCGCGGUAAUACGGGGGGGGCAAGCGUUGUUCGGAAUUACUGNNCGUAAAGGGCGCGCAGGCGGNCGGGAAAGUCUCUCGUGAAAGCCCACGGCUCNNNCGUGGAAUUGCGGGAGAUACUUCUCGUCUUGAGNCCGGGAGANGAGUGUGNNNNUCCCAGUGUAGCGGUGAAAUGCGUA
rnacentral:rRNA from 1 species